CGAAAAUCCCAUUUUCCUCCCCAAAUUCGCUCUGUUCUCUCUCCUCCCUACCCGCGUGACCCGACCCGAACCCGGUGUACCGACCCGGUUCGAUCUCCUCCGUCCAACGUCCGCCGACGACGAGACCACUGCAGACGGCUUCGCCUCCUCCUCGCCGUCGUCCCCUUGGUGCUCGAUCACGGCAGCAGCGACCGGAACUUGGAGAUCGGAGCAGCCACAGACCCUAAAACGGAUCCGGCCGGAUUUCACCUAUUCCGGUAUCCCCUUGGCCGAUCC
rnacentral:lncRNA from 1 species